GCCUAUGGCAUAGAUUUAAUGUAUCAGAUCACAUUAUAACUUCACAUUUAAGAGUGCUCAAGCUAGAGUAGUACUGGGAUGGGUGACCACCCGAGAAGUCCUAGUGUGUUACAUGCC
rfam:Picea glauca, whole genome shotgun sequence.